UACAGAGGAUCCAAGCGUUAUCCGGAAUCAUUGGGUUUAAAGGGUCCGUAGGCGGUUUGGUAAGUCAGUGGUGAAAGCCCAUCGCUCAACGGUGGAACGGCCAUUGAUACUGCCAGACUUGAAUUAUUAGGAAGUAACUAGAAUAUGUAGUGUAGCGGUGAAAUGCUUAGAGAUUACAUGGAAUACCAAUUGCGAAGGCAGGUUACUACUAAUGGAUUGACGCUGAUGGACGAAAGCGUGGGUAGCGAACAGG
rnacentral:rRNA from 1 species